rnacentral:rRNA from 1 species
UACGUAGGGCGCAAGCGUGUCCGGAAUUAUUGGGCGUAAAGAGCUCGUAGGCGGUCUGUCGCGUCGGCUGUGAAAACCCGAGGCUCAACCUCGGGCCUGCAGUCGAUACGGGCAGACUAGAGUGCUGUAGGGGAGACUGGAAUUCCUGGUGUAGCGGUGAAAUGCGCAGAUAUCAGGAGGAACACCGGUGGCGAAGGCGGGUCUCUGGACAGUUCCUGACACUGAGGCACGAAGGCCAGGGGGAGCAAACGGG